rnacentral:rRNA from 1 species
UACGUAGGGUGCGAGCGUUAAUCGGAAUUACUGGGCGUAAAGCGUGCGCAGGCGGUUUUGUAAGCCAGAUGUGAAAUCCCCGGGCUUAACCUGGGAAUGGCAUUUGGGACUGCAAGGCUGGAGUUUGGCAGAGGAGACUGGAAUUCCCGGUGUAGCAGUGAAAUGCGUAGAUAUCGGAAGGAACAUCAGUGGCGAAAGCGACUUCCUGGACCAAUACUGACGCUCAUGUGCGAAAGCGUGGGGAGCAAACAGG